AGCAGCCGCGGUAAUUCCAGCUCCAAUAGCGUAUAUUAAAGUUGUUGCAGUUAAAAAGCUCGUAGUUGAAUUUCGGGAUCAAUAUGUUGGUCGUGCCUUGGUACGUACUGGCAUUAUCGAUUCCUACCUUCUGAAGAACCUCGAUGUCAUUAAUUUGGUGUCUUGGGGAAUCAGGACUGUUACUUUGAAAAAAUUAGAGCGUUUAAAGCAGGCUCGCGCUUGAAUACAUUAGCAUGGAAUAAUGAAAUAGGACGUUUGAUUCUAUUUUGUUGGUUUCUAGGAUCGACGUAAUGAUUAAUAGGGAUAGUUGGGGGCAUUAGUAUUCAAUUGUCAGAGGUGAAAUUCUUGGAUUUAUUGAAGACUAACUACUGCGAAAGCAUUUGCCAAGGAUGUUUUCAUUAAUCAAGAACGAAAGUUAGGGGAUCGAAGACGAUCAGAUACCGUCGUAGUCUUAACCAUAAACUAUGCCGACUAGGGAUCGGAUGAUGUUAAUUUUUUAAUGACUCA
rnacentral:rRNA from 1 species